AGCGAACGCUGGCGGCAGGCCUAACACAUGCAAGUCGAACGAAGUCUUCGGACUUAGUGGCGGACGGGUGAGUAACACGUGGGAACGUACCUUUUGGUUCGGAACAACUCAGGGAAACUUGAGCUAAUACCGGAUGAGCCCUUAGGGGGAAAGAUUUAUCGCCGAAAGAGCGGCCCGCGUUAGAUUAGCCAGUUGGUGAGGUAAAGGCUCACCAAGGCUACGAUCUAUAGCUGGUCUGAGAGGAUGAUCAGCCACACUGGGACUGAGACACGGCCCAGACUCCUACGGGAGGCAGCAGUGGGGAAUCUUGCGCAAUGGGCGAAAGCCUGACGCAGCCAUGCCGCGUGAAUGAUGAAGGUCUUGGGAUUGUAAAAUUCUUUUACCAGGGACGAUAAUGACGGUACCUGGAGAAAAAGCCCCGGCUAACUUCGUGCCAGCAGCCGCCGUAAGAC
rnacentral:rRNA from 1 species